UGUGGGGCCAGUCAUCACUCGCAAUUGAUAUGUUAUCUGUGGCGAUUGGCUUUGCGAUUCUUCACCUGGGACCCACCAUUUGCUAGCCUCAUACCAUGCAACACACUAGCUCCUCUGACUUCCCAGCUGGCAAAAAAAUCCCUACACCGUUUGCUCUUAGGCUCUUUCUGGUUUGGGGUUCUUACAUAAGCAUAAAACUUGACGUGAGAAGAUAUGGAAUACUGAUGGACUCGAAUUCAGUCCAGUUCACUAUUCCUCCAGUCCAUGCAGUUCAUUUUUUUCGUUGGCCCUCCUUCUGCCACGUCGCCCUCCUUAACCGUGGUUUAUGCUUGAGUUUGUUUCCUUGCACCAAUAGUUAGACAACAAACAUGCCCUCUCUCGCGCUCCCUCCAAAACCCACAGUAGCCCUAAACCCCAAAUCCCACCAUUAACCAAAUUAUUUCCCAAAUUAAUGUCAUUCUUUCCCAAAUCCUGCCAUUAACGAAAUUAUCUCCUGCACGAUUUCUGUUUUCCAAACAAUUUUGUUUCCAAAAAUCGAUUUCUAUUUUGUAUGUUUGUGAGGGAAAAGAAAAUUAUAGGGCUUUGAUUGUGGUGACCGGAGUUGAUUAUGGAUUUACACCUAAAUUAAGGGUUUUGUUUAGCAAUUUUGACGAUAGCAAGCCGGCUUGUUAUUUGAUUGUAGGAAUCAUGAAUGAAGAAGUGCCACACGUUAAUGAUGAUUUUGCUUAGAUUGUUCAUAAUGGUCAUAACGUUGUUUGUGUUGAGAAUGUUGAUAAUGAUAUUUGCGAUACCGUUGUUUGUGUUGAGAAUGUUGAUAAUUCUGUUUAUGUUCAGAAUGUUGAUAA